rnacentral:rRNA from 1 species
GUCCCUGGCCACACCACCCUGAACAUGCCUGAUCUCGUCUGAUCUCGGAAGCUAAGCUGGGUCAGGCCUGGCUAGCUUUUGGAUGGGAGAAUGUCUUCAAUGAAGUGGUAAGAAUUACU